AUGGUCCGGAGGUACUGGUGGGGUGUGGAGAAUGGAAAACAUAAGACACACUGGAUUGCAUGGGAAAAAUUAAUACUCCCAAAGAAUCAAGGUGGUCUCGGUUUUCGUGACAUGCGCCUCUUUAACCAGGCUUUGCUUGCGAGACAAGCUUGGCGUUUAAUUGAGCGACCAGAUAGUUUGUGUGCAAGGUUGUUGAAGGAAAAGUACUAUAGACGAGGAAACCUGAUUGAUACUGUGUUCACCGGAAACUCAUCAGUAGUUUGGAAGGGCAUUGAGCAUGGGCUAGAGUUGUUAAAGAAAGGUGUCAUAUGAAGGAUAGGUGAUGGGCGCAGCGUGAGAAUUUGGCGUGAUCCAUGGAUCCCA
rnacentral:rRNA from 1 species